rnacentral:misc_RNA from 1 species
UNGAKACUGGAGCAACCGAMGAAAUGACGAGGCUUUAUUUCACCACCGCMUGUCUGGAAGCUCCCAGGCGUCCUCAGCUCAUAUUUUGGCCAACCGCGUGCGGUAACACACGGGAGACCAUCUUCCGUCCUACAUCCGCAAAGGAUGGGGACGACGAUUUGUGACACCCAGGCAGACGUGCCCUCGGCCAGAAGGCUUAGGGCGCAACUUGCGUUCAAAGACUCGAUGGUUCACGGGAUUCUGCAAUUCACACCAAGUAUCGCAUUUCGCUACGUUCUUCAUCGAUGCGAGAGCCGAGAUAUCCGUUGCCGAAAGUCGUUAUAGACUUUAUAUUGCAGAACAGCUUAAGCACACACACCGUCUCCGGGGCGGCAAAGGCAGGCUGCUUASUUGCAUGUUCCUUGACACUUUUCGUGCCGGGGUUUUGUGAUAUCCGGAAGCUCCCCUCAUGAUCCGACCAAGAAUAAUAGUUG